rnacentral:rRNA from 1 species
AAUCCUGGCUCAGGAUGAACGCUGGCGGCGUGCCUAACACAUGCAAGUCGAACGGACUUACAUUGAAGCCUAGCGAUAUGUAAGUUAGUGGCGGACGGGUGAGUAACGCGUGGGUAACCUGCCUUGUACUGGGGGACAACAGUUGGAAACGACUGCUAAUACCGCAUAAGCGCACAGCUUCGCAUGAAGCGGUGUGAAAAACUCCGGUGGUACAAGAUGGACCCGCGUCUGAUUAGCUGGUUGGUG